GGGCGGUGCACCCGCCUCGCGGGCCGGCCGUGACACGCAGCGCGGCAGCCCCGGCUCCGGGUUCCGGGGCGCGGAGGGCCCCCCAGCACAAAGUGACCUCCGCCUGCGGUGCGGGCCGGGACCGCAGCUCGCCCAGUGGCCUCACAUCCACCCUGUGCUGCCUUAAACGUGGCCAGGGUGCCUCCAGUCGAGCUCAGGGUGGCUUGCAUUGAGUCAGGAGGGCCUCCAGUCUACCCUGUGGUGCCUCCAAUGCAGCCGGGGUGUCUUGAAUUGAGUCGGGGUACAUCCAAUCGAGCUGGGGGUAUCUCCGAUGGAGCUCAGGGUGCCUCACACCGAGUGAGGAGGGCCUCAAAUCUAUCCUGUGGUGCCUCCAAUGCAGCCAGGGUGGCUUGAAUUGAGUCGGGGUACCUCCAAUCGAGCUGGGGGUAUCUCCGAUCGAGCUCAGGGUGCCUCACACCGAGUCAGGAGGGCCUCAAAUCUAUCCUGUGGUGCCUCCAAUGCAGCCAGGGUGUCUUGAAUUGAGUCAGGGUACCUCCAACCGAGCUGGGGUACCUUUGAUCGAGCUCAGGGUGCCUCACACUGAGUCAGGAGGGCCUCAGAUCUAUCCUGUGGUGCCUCAAAUGCAGCCGGGGUGUCUUGAAUUGAGUCGGGGUACAUCCAACCAAGCCGGGGUAUCUCCAAUCAAGCUCAGGGUGCCUCACAUUGAGUCAGGAGGGCCUCCAAUCUAUCCUUUGGUGCCUCAAAUGCAGCCAGGGGUGUCUUGAAUCAAGUCAGGGUACCCCCAACCGAGCUGGGGUACCUCUGAUAGAGCUCAGGGUGCCUCACACUGAGUCAGGAGGGCCUCAAAUCUACCCUGUGGUGCCUCAAAUGCAGCCGGGGUGUCUUGAAUUGAGUCGGGGUACAUCCAACCAAGCCGGGGUAUCUCCAAUCGAGCUCAGGGUGCCUCACACUGAAUAAGGAGGGCCUCAGAUCUAUCCUGCGGUGCCUCCAAUGCAGCCAGGGUGUCUUGAAUUGAGUUGGGGUACCUCCAACCAAGCUGGGGUAUCUCCAAUCGAGCUCAGGGUGCCUCACACCAAGUCAGGAGGGCCUCAAAUCUACCCUGUGGUGCCUCAAACGCAGCCAGGGUGUCUUGAAUGAAGUCGGGGUACCUCCAAUCAUGCUGGGGUACCUCCGCUCAAGCUCAGGGUGCCUCACUGAGUCAGGAGGGCCUCCAAUCUAGCUGGGGUGUUUUGAAUUGAGCUGGGGUACCUCCAGUUGAGCCAGGGGGGUGCCUUGCACUGAGCCAGGAGUGCCUCAAAUCCAUCACGUGGCACCUCCCAUCUAACCAGGGGUGUUUUGAAUCUAGCCAGCAUGCCUCUAGUCCAGCUGGGGCGCCUCAAGUCCUAAAGGGCUGAGAAUCACUGCGCGAAGCCGUCAUUGUGGAUACUGGCAUUCCCUCCAUCCCCUCUAUUUACAGUCAGCAAACAUGACUCCAUGCUGAAACAGCGAAACAAUUUCCAGCCUUAUCAGAAGGAAGUGUGUGUGUGUGUCUGGGGGAACAACUAGUGAAAACACUGCGUUUCCUGCAGCAGCCCCGUUCCCAAGCUGGGAGAGCAGAGCCGACAGUCCUUACUGCACCGCCCAUGGAGUUAAUCUGAGACGCCAAGUGGUUUAUCGGAUUCUUGGACACAUCAUUAAGCAGCACGACGCAGCUCGCACUCCUGCGAAGCUGAGGUUCACCAAUACACACACACCGCAAGUGGCCAGUGUUCCUGAGAUCUGCAGCUUUGGCCCACCUCGUUAGCCAGCGUGAACUGAAGAGGUCAUUAGGCCUUAUGGACU